CUUCAGCGACCCCAGCCACAACGGACGGUCAGCCGGGCGGCCCUGCCCGUACGUGGCCAGCAGCGCCUGCGCCUC
rfam:Actinoplanes sp. N902-109, complete genome.